rnacentral:lncRNA from 1 species
AGCAACUAAAGUUUCAGUGUAUUUUAAAAUUUAUUUCUUUUUAUAUUUUUAUGUAAAAUUUUUAUUUCAAAAUAUAUUUUAUUAAUAAAUUUUUCAUUGAAUUUGUAAUUUCAUAUUAGGAAUAGAAUUUGUACCAUGAUUAAUACUUAAUUUGUUGCAUUUUCUUGCCUGAAUUUAAUAAUAUCUGCUUUCUCUCCUUGAUUCACUAUUGUUGGUGCUAAUUUUUAUAUAGAACUUUAGUUGACAAUGAUAUGGCUAAAUUGCACUUUGAAUGCUUGUGUGCUACCCAUUAUGACUUUCCUGAUUCUGUUGUGUGACGUAAAAUUUUACUGGUGGAACGGACACCUGUGCUUGAAUACCAAUAUUUGUUCUGUUGGAGGAUUAGUAUGUUACCUCUGUGGUAUUCUUCCAUUCUACUUAAUUUUUUUAUUGUUAAUUUACGGUAAAAAUUUCUCCAUUUAAGUAUUUUCCUCCGGGUGAUUUUAUUUAUGUGUGUAUUAAACGUAACUAUUUUAAAGGAAAAAAUAAGUUUAUAGUCUAUAUAGUUGUUUCCUCGUACCUAUAAUGGUAAACUGUAGGCAUCUUUCUUUUGUCCUGUAGAGUCCUAUAGGAAUUUGUGGAUAGUGUCAUUCUAUAGAUUGGCAUUGGCUGUAUACGGUUAGACUGACACUAUCCACCAUUUUUUGUGGGAUUCUAUGGGAUAUGGAAGGGAGAUGUCUGCGAUUUGUCAUUAUGGAUAAAAAAAAGACAACUAUAUAGAGCAAAACAACAUUUAGAAACAGAACAAAGAAGUUUAUAAUCUUUACAUUUAAUCUCAAAAUAUUUUAUAAUAUAAAAGAAGUCUGUUUUUACCAUACAAUAUUGAAAUUAAAUAUUGUUAUAGCUCAGAUUAUAAAAACAACAAUAUUUUGUUUCUUAUUAAUGUCCGAAACAACUGAAUAGAAACUGAAAAAAUAAAAUCGUGGGCAUGUAAUUUUAUAUUAUUUUUUUUUAUCUUUAAAAAUUUGAUGUAUUUAUACUAAAAUAAUAGAACAAUAGAGGAGUAAAAUUAAUUGUGAGACAUUACUUUUAAAUUUAUCCACAAAUGUGAAUACCAAGCUAACUUUUAAAAAGUUAAGUAAUAAUAAUGUGUAGAAUAAAAAAUGUCUAAUCCAGUAAUUUAAUUUUAUUGUUACAUAUAUUAUAUAUAGUAUUGUACUACAGUCUUGUGAUGUUGAACAUUUUUUGUUUAGAAGUUAAAGAAUUAUUAUUUUAUAAAAUAAUAUUAUAUAAGAAGAAUAUUAAUAAAAUUUUUAUGCUUAAGUGCUAUUGGUUCGAGUUAUUUAUCUAAAACAGGGAUCCUCAAAUAUUGUAGAGUCACAAUCUCUUACUGAAAUUUUUUAUACUUCAUUAGUCCCAAUUUUUAAUAAAAAUACUAUUUUUAGAAUACAACAACAUACUUGUAUUCUUGUAACAGGGUGGGCAGUACUCAAAGAAGGAAGAGAAAGAAAGUGAUUAAAAAAAAACUUAAAUACCAUCAAUCGGAUGCCAUCAUAAAUCCCUAUCUUUAAAUACUGUAUAUCAAUUCACAUUGUCCUUUAUGCAGUUCUGUUUUAAAAUCCAUAUUUGACAGUUUGAUUAUCUUUCUUUUGAGCUCUGAAAUUAUGAAAAUAAUUUCACUCUGUUGAUUAUCAGCCAAAUGAUACUAUAGUUUGAUGAACAAGCUACCCCUUGAGGGUUCCAGACAACUCUAGGAACUACUUCAUUAGGCUCCAACUUCUGGCCAUUAUGGCAAGGUUGAACUACCAACAGUCCAGAAAGAUCACUGGAGCCUGUAAUCCCUUUGCCAUGUAAAGGUGUAGGUUUUUAGAAUAUAUUAUUGUUAUUUGAAUUUAAUCAUAAUAAAGAAACUGUGUUUCUUAAUUUAUAUCAUAAAAUAUAG